GGGGAAUCUUCCACAAUGGGCGAAAGCCUGAUGGAGCAACGCCGCGUGAGUGAUGAAGGCCUUCGGGUUGUAAAGCUCUGUUAUUCGGGACGAAAGAGCGCAUGGCUAAUAUCCAUGCGAAGUGACGGUACCGAAAGAGAAAGCCACGGCUAACUACGUGCCAGCAGCCGCGGUAAUACGUAGGUGGCAAGCGUUGUCCGGAAUUAUUGGGCGUAAAGCGCGCGCAGGCGGCCUUUUAAGUCCAUCUUAAAAGCGUGGGGCUCAACCCCAUGAGGGGAUGGAAACUGGGAGGCUGGAGUAUCGGAGAGGAAAGCGGAAUUCCUAGUGUAGCGGUGAAAUGCGUAGAGAUUAGGAAGAACACCAGUGGCGAAGGCGGCUUUCUGGACGACAACUGACGCUGAGGCGCGAAAGCGUGGGGAGCAAAC
rnacentral:rRNA from 1 species